rnacentral:rRNA from 1 species
GACGAACGCUGGCGGCGUGCUUAACACAUGCAAGUCGAACGCUGAAGCUCAGCUUGCUGGGUGGAUGAGUGGCGAACGGGUGAGUAACACGUGAGUAACCUGCCCUCUUCUUUGGGAUAACGCCCGGAAACGGGUGCUAAUACUGGAUAUUCACUGAUUCUCGCAUGGGGGUUGGUGGAAAGGUUUUUUCUGGUGGGGGAUGGGCUCGCGGCCUAUCAGCUUGUUGGUGGGGUGAUGGCCUACCAAGGCUUUGACGGGUAGCCGGCCUGAGAGGGUGACCGGUCACAUUGGGACGGAGAUACGGCCCAGACGCCUACGGGAGGCAGCAGUGGGGAAUAUUGCACAAUGGGCGAAAGCCUGAUGCAGCGACGCCGCGUGAGGGAUGGAGGCCUUCGGGUUGUAAACCUCUUUCGCUCAUGGUCAAGCCGCAGCUUUGGGUUGUGGUGAGGGUAGUGGGUAAAGAAGCGCCGGCUAACUACGUG